rnacentral:rRNA from 1 species
GACGAACGCUGGCGGCGUGCUUAACACAUGCAAGUCGAACGGACAGGCCCUGCUUUUGUGGGGUGCUCGAGUGGCGAACGGGUGUGUAACACGUGAGUAACCUGCCCUUGACUUUGGGAUAACUUCAGGAAACUGGGGCUAAUACCGGAUAGGAGCUCCUGCUGCAUGGUGGGGGUUGGAAAGUUUCGGCGGUUGGGGAUGGACUCGCGGCUUAUCCGCUUGUUGGUGGGGUAGUGGCUUUCCAAGGCUUUGACGGGUAGCCGGCCUGAGAGGGUGACCGGCCACAUUGGGACUGAGAUACGGCCCAGACGGCUACGGGAGGCAGCAGUGGGGAACAUUGCAGAAUGGGCGGAAGCCUGAUGCAGCAACGCCGCGUGCGGGAUGACGGGCUUCGGGUUGUAAACCGCUGUCGCCUGUGACGAAGCGGGAGUGACGGUAACGGGUAAAGAAGCACCGGCUAACUACGUG